rnacentral:rRNA from 1 species
UUGCCCUAGUAACGGCGAGUGAAGCGGCAACAGCUCAAAUUUGAAAUCUGGCGCAAGCCCGAGUUGUAAUUUGUAGAGGAUGCUUCUGGGUAGCGGCCGGUCUAAGUUCCUUGGAACAGGACGUCAUAGAGGGUGAGAAUCCCGUAUGUGACUGGCUUGCACCCUCCACGUAGCUCCUUCGACGAGUCGAGUUGUUUGGGAAUGCAGCUCUAAAUGGGAGGUAAAUUUCUUCUAAAGCUAAAUACCGGCCAGAGACCGAUAGCGCACAAGUAGAGUGAUCGAAAGAUGAAAAGCACUUUGGAAAGAGAGUUAAAAAGCACGUGAAAUUGUUGAAAGGGAAGCGCCCGCAACCAGACUUUGCGGCAGUGUUCGGCUGGUCUUCUGAC